GAUGAACGCUAGCUACAGGCUUAACACAUGCAAGUCGAGGGGAAACGACAUCGCAAGCUUGCUUUUGAUGGGCGUCGACCGGCGCACGGGUGAGUAACGCGUAUCCAACCUGCCCACCACUUGGGGAUAACCUUGCGAAAGUAAGACUAAUACCCAAUGACGUCUCUAGAAGACAUCUGAAAGAGAUUAAAGAUUUAUCGGUGAUGGAUGGGGAUGCGUCUGAUUAGCUUGUUGGCGGGGUAACGGCCCACCAAGGCGACGAUCAGUAGGGGUUCUGAGAGGAAGGUCCCCCACAUUGGAACUGAGACACGGUCCAAACUCCUACGGGAGGCAGCAGUGAGGAAUAUUGGUCAAUGGACGGGAGUCUGAACCAGCCAAGUAGCGUGCAGGAUGACGGCCCUAUGGGUUGUAAACUGCUUUUAUAAGGGAAUAAAGUGAGUCUCGUGAGACUUUUUGCAUGUACCUUAUGAAUAAGGACCGACUAAUUCCGUG
rnacentral:rRNA from 1 species